AACGGUUGAGAGAGGUGUUUUCUGCAAAGACUGGUCUGGGAGAGAGGGGAGGGGACAGCUCGCGUUCUCUAAGGCUUUCUGAUGGGAACGAAAGGUUGAGCUUGAUGCCGGCGAGGGUGUAGCCAACCCAAGAGUCUCCACAAAUCUGAAGCCAAAGUGUAGGCUCCUCUUCUAGUCAACACUCAAGGCGGAAAGUGCCUGCUGGGACACUGCGCAGUCACAAGUGCUGAUCAAAGCCUCUGCUGCAGGUCGAAGGAACCUGACAGUGACAGGCCGAAUCAAGGUACCGGUCACGCCUUGACAAUGUUUGUAAACCUCUUGUUUCCACGGAUCAGUUUGA